CAGAAUCUUGGGUACUCUAGGUUCCGAUAGAGCCAGUUAUGAUGUAUAUCUGUGAAGGUCAUCUAGUCUAGUGUUUCCUUUAAGACCAAUGUUCCCUUGUUGACUUUUUGUCUUGAUAAUCUAUCCAUUGAUAUAAGUGCUGGAGAAAUGAAGGAGUAAAAUGAGACCUCUGAAAUACACAGAAAUAGCACCUGGAUAAUGAGCUGAUUUUUCAACAUCAACAAUGGAAGCCAAAAGACAAUGGAAUGAUAUCUUCAAAAUAAUAAAAGCAAGUAAUUUCUGACUUAGAAUUCUAUCACAGCUGAAAAUUUCUUUCAAAAAAUGAAGACAUUUUCAGAAAAACAAAAACUGAUAGAAUUAAUGAGCAGCAGACACACAUGGAGGCAAACAACAAAGAACAUUCUUCGGGUAGAAGAAAAAUGAUCUUGAAUGGCAGCUAGAAUAUGCAGGAAGGGAUGAAGAGCAACGGAAAGGGUCAUGAGCUAUAAUGAUCUUGGAUAAGAUGACCACAAGAAAAAAUUAGAGUGGGAAGAGCAGAUGCUGUCAGAAACUUUGAACUUUGGAGAACACUACUGUUUAAGGAGUGAAAGAAGAGCAGCCCAUGAAGACCAACAAAAUAACAGACAUCACUUGCAGAUGCAGGAAGAAGCCAUGAAGAGAGUAAAAUCACUGAGGACAAAGGAGUAAUCAAUAUUUUGAAAUUCAGCAGAGCAGACCAAUAAGAGUCAAUAUGUGUCCAUUGGAUUUGGUAUUUAGGAAUCGAUGUAGUUUAGUACAUCAAUAGAGAAGGCAAUUGAAAAAUUCUUAUUGACUUUGCUUAAUACUAAAUUGCUUAUGAUGAUUCAUUCAUUAAACAAAUAAUUAUUGAGCACCAA